UACAGAGACUGCGAGCGUUAUUCGGAUUCACUGGGCGUAAAGGGUGCGCAGGCGGCCGUGUGUGUGAGGCGUGAAAGCCCGGGGCUUAACCCCGGAAUUGCACCUCAAAUUACACGGCUAGAGCAUUGGAGAGGGUAGCGGAAUUCACGGUGUAGCAGUGAAAUGCGUAGAUAUCGAUGAGGAACACCAGAGGCGAAGGCGGCUACCUGGACAAUUGCUGACGCUCAGGCACGAAAGCGUGGGGAGCAAAAGGG
rnacentral:rRNA from 1 species